CGGUGGAAUGCGCAGAUAUCAGGAGGAACACCGAUGGCGAAGGCAGGUCUCUGGGCCGCAACUGACGCUGAGGAGCGAAAGCAUGGGGAGCGAACAGGAUUAGAUACCCUGGUAGUCCAUGCCGUAAACGUUGGGCACUAGGUGUGGGACUCAUUCCACGAGUUCCGUGCCGCAGCUAACGCAUUAAGUGCCCCGCCUGGGGAGUACGGCCGCAAGGCUAAAACUCAAAGGAAUUGACGGGGGCCCGCACAAGCGGCGGAGCAUGCGGAUUAAUUCGAUGCAACGCGAAGAACCUUACCAAGGCUUGACAUGCACCGGACGCUGCCAGAGAUGGUGGUUCCGCAAGGUCGGUGCACAGGUGGUGCAUGGUUGUCGUCAGCUCGUGUCGUGAGAUGUUGGGUUAAGUCCCGCAACGAGCGCAACCCUUGUCCUAUGUUGCCAGCGGGUUAUGCCGGGGACUCAUGGGAGACUGCCGGGGUCAACUCGGAGGAAGGCGGGGAUGACGUCAAAUCAUCAUGCCCCUUAUGUCUUGGGCUUCACGCAUGCUACAAUGGCCGGUACAGAGGGCUGCGAUACCGUAAGGUGGAGCGAAUCCCAAAAAGCCGGUCUCAGUUCGGAUUGGGGUCUGCAACUCGACCCCAUGAAGUCGGAGUCGCUAGUAAUCGCAGAUCAGCAACGCUGCGGUGAAUACGUUCCCGGGCCUUGUACACACCGCCCGUCAAGUCACGAAAGUUGGUAACACCCGAAGCUCAC
rnacentral:rRNA from 1 species